rnacentral:rRNA from 1 species
GACGAACGCUGGCGGCGUGCCUAAUACAUGCAAGUCGAACGCAGUGGGGACGGGUGAGUAACACGUGGGUAACCUCCCAUCAGAGGGGAUAACACUUGGAAACAGGUGCUAAACCGAUACUGAUGGAUGAACCAGCGGUGCAUUAGCUAGUUGGUGAUGUAACGGCCAACCAGGGCCACGAUGCAUAGCCGACCUUAGAGGGUGUGCAGCCACACUGGGACUGAGACACGGCCCAGACUCCUACGGGAGGCAGCAGUAGGGAAUCUUCGGCAAUGGGCGAAAGUCUGACCGGGCAACGCCGCGUGAGUGAAGAAGGUUUUCGGAUCGUAAAACUCUGUUGUUAGAGAAGCGGUAUCUAACCAGAAAGCCACGGCUAACUCCGUGCCAGCAGCCGCGGUAAUAC